AUGGCCCGCCCGUCGCGGCUCUACCUCCUCGCCUACAACUCCCUGCAGGCCAUCGGAUGGUCCGUCGCCCUGCUCCGUCUCCUCCCCUGCCUCGCCCCUCCCGUCUCCGUCCGCCCCGCGUACGCCGCCGCCGGCGACCUCAUAUGCUUUCUGCAGACCUGCGCGGUUCUUGAGACCGUCCAUGCCGCCGUCGGAUUGGUGCCCACCUCGCCGUUUCUUGCUUUCCUGCAAUGGGGAGGGAGGACUCACUUCAUCCUCGCCCUUCUCCGGCAAAUCCCUGAGGUUCAGGGCAGUCUCUCUGUGUUCAUAACGUUUAUGGCUUGGAGCAUAUCUGAGGUCAUUCGAUACUCUCACUAUGCUCUGACUACGUUAAAAGUUUGUCCAGCAUGGAUGACUUACCUCAGGUACACUGCCUUUAUCCCACUGUAUCCAAUUGGGGUAGGACCAGGAGAAAUGUGGACUAUGUACCAAGCUCUUCCAUUUGUGAAGGAGAGGGACCUCUACUCAGGCUUCUUUGCUAAGUUCUCCAUGAGCUACCAUUCAUUUCUUGUGGGUGUGCUGCUGUGCUAUCCGCUUCUGUGGCUGAAGCUGUACCUGCAUGUGUUCAAGCAGCGCAAGUCCAAGCUGGGAAAAGCGGGCAUGAAGAAACGGGCGUGA
rnacentral:rRNA from 1 species